rnacentral:lncRNA from 1 species
AUUGUUGGGUUUAGUCCCACAUCGGUUGUGGGAGGUGACAUAACACGACUUAUAAGGGUGAGGGUGUUCCCUCCUAACAGGCUAGUCUUUUGGGGAAAGAGGGCCUAAGGCCUGUCAUAAGUCGGUGUUGCUCUUCGGUUGAGUCUGUUGACACAUAUGGAUCGGAUACGCUGGUGCUAGCGGACCCGGGAUUGGGUAACUCUAUAGAUCGAGGCCAAUAU